UUGGCUAAUUUCCUCCUGAACAGGUAGCUUAGCAUUACCUUCAGGCUAAUUUAGCACGGCUACAAGGGACGGGCAUUUCAUGUCAUUUCAACAUUUGUGUACUCACUGUGAAUUACUAGAUAGCUAGGGUUACAAAGGUG